GUUGUUUAAAACAAACGUGCAUUCAGACACGUUAUUCAUUGGCGGCUGUUGACUAUGAUUUAAAAGAAAGAAAAACAUUUUGAGAUGGACAGGGUGUGGCAGAGAUGGACACUUUGGCCUUGCAUGCUGCGGAUUUCUGUUCUGCUGACUUGUAGCGUCUAAUCUUAACUGCGUGACCUCUCUUGGUGAGGAUGAUGCGUCAGGAUGGGCGAUCGAGGGCAAGAGCCUCCCGGUUGGCAGUGAUGCCAAUAUCUUUGAAGUCAAGGAAAGCAUCCUUCGUCGCGUAAGAGCAAAUAUCAUGCUGAGGACUGGGACGAGCACAAUUAAAGCCCAUGCAGCUGUUUGACACCAUAUAGGUGACAGGAAAGGACUUGAAUUCCUCUACAUGAUCGAAGACUGUGACCUAAUCCUGUUGGGGAACUGCCAGACGAAUCUAAAGGACUUGUGUGGUCACCCAAAUUUCUCCAUUAUCUUCUAGAUGCCCUCCCUGCUGUCAAAAGCCUUGGUCAUGUCAACAAAGGUCUUAUAAAGAUGAUGGUGCUGUUCUUGGAACUUUUCCUAGGGCUCCGGACGCGAAGAUGUCUGUGGUGCCGCGCCCAGCACUGGCCCGGCUUUCAGGAAGAAUGUCACGCUCAAAAUGGUGCAGGGAGGGGUUAAAGAGGAGUUGGGCCAAGAUUUAGCUUUAUCAUAAAAAUUAUUUCAUAUAAAAAAAAAAAAUUUGUAAAGCAUGCUAUGCUUUCUUGUGAAUUAUGUUUCAUGCAUAGAGUUUCUAGUAUUUGUGUGCUCCAGCCAUAAGCAUAUUAAAUUUAGGUAGAGAGGAUAUACAAGCAAACUCCACAGCAGACAAAAACAGAUGGAAAACAGUAUUCAAUUAAACAUUUUUAAUAUCAUACUCUCACCUGUUCCAAUAUUAGAAGAAUACUUUAAUUUUUACAAGUUUUUUAAAAAAAGCAAUUUCCAGAAAAACAGUAGUUUUUUUAAACUGUUCAUGCAAUCUUUCAUUUUUGAAAGUGGGUCAUGAUGCAUACAUAUCACAUGAAAGAUAGCAGCAUUUGUGCAAGCAGGUAUGCACAUGCUUUCACAACCUUAGUUUUUUUUUCAAAUACAUGUGUCUCUUCUCCAAAUACCUGCAAUAUUUACGCAAAUGUGUUAAUGUUUUAGUAGUUCAGAGCACAAAUCUAAUCAGGGAUAGAAGUCAGACACCAUCCUGCAAGUCAGUAUGCUAAUGCUUGAGGGGCUAAAUAACAAUUCAGUAUUUUCAAAACUAAAAUAUGGAUAUAACAUUCUUCCUGGGAAGGGGAGUGACAGAAGCAUGAAGCAGAACAAAACCUGCUUCUUCAGUCCCCUUCCUUCAGUUUUUUAAAAAAAAAGUUCCCAAGCAUUUUUCCAUGUUAUCAAUGUCACAGCAGAAAUAACAAUAUCUUUUAUCACAUAUCAAAAAGUAACAUCUAGAUAUUAAAUAGGAUUAUCAUGCUGCCGUAUUAAUUUUCUACCUUUAUGGUCCCAGAAGUAGAUACAUAAACCUUCCAUGUUACAUGUGCACAGUGAUUUGAAUUAAAAUAAGGUCAUCAUAUACAACACAAACAUAGAACAGAGAAAUUAUUUAAAAUUUUUCAGAAAGUCAAAUAUGACGUUUAUAAGCUUGACAUGUGGUAGGCAUAUAGUUGACCAAACGCAAAUGUUUCUUGGAAUUUGUCAACAAGAGCCUUGUAAGAGAUUGCAUUAGGUAAAGCCAAACACAACAUGCAUGUAAUGAAUUGGGACAUUACUAUUAAAACAUCACAGCUAUAUUUUUACAUUAUAUUCUUGUUCACUGAAUACAAAUAAAAUUGCGAUCAACAAGUAUUUUGGAACAUUACCUCAUGUAAAUUUUCAAUUCAUUAUUACUCUGUCGUUUGAUAAAUUUCCCCUGGCACUGAAAUAAAACUGCUGUUUUAACAGCUUUACAUAACUGAUAUAUGGUGGGGAGAAUUCUGUGGCAUUUUGCACUGUCUUAAAAAAAGUUUAUGAAUAGAGCAUUCUGUGUAUGCCUAAUAGAUAUCAAUAUAUAUAGUCUUUUUUUUU